rnacentral:rRNA from 1 species
AGGUUGACCUCGGAUCAGGUAGGAAUACCCGCUGAACUUAAGCAUAUCAAUAAGCGGAGGAAAAGAAACCAACAGGGAUUGCCUUAGUAGCGGCGAGCGAAGCGGCAACAGCUCAAAUUUGAAAUCUGGCUACUUUGUAGUCCGAGUUGUAAUUUGCAGAGGAUGCUUUUGGUGAGGUGCCUUCCGAGUUCCCUGGAACGGGACGCCAGAGAGGGUGAGAGCCCCGUACGGUUGGACACCAAACCUUUGUAUAGCUCCUUCAACGAGUCGAGUAGUUUGGGAAUGCUGCUCUAAAUGGGAGGUAUAUCUCUUCUAAAGCUAAAUACCGGCUAGAGACCGAUAGCGCACAAGUAGAGUGAUCGAAAGAUGAAAAGCACUUUGAAAAGAGAGUUAAACAGCACGUGAAAUUGUUGAAAGGGAAGCGCCUAUGACCAGACUUGUUUCUGUCAGUUUUGCUUGUUUUCGGACUUGUUUACUCUGUCAGUACAGGCCAACAUCAGUUUGUUGUUUGGGAGAAAGGCUUAGGGAAUGUGGCUCCCUCGGGAGUGUUAUAGCCCUUUGCAUAAUACCAUUCGGCAGACUGAGGACCGCGCUUCGGCAAGGAUGUUGGCGUAAUGGUCAUCAGCGACCCGUCUUGAAACACGGACCAAGGAGUCAACCUUAUGUGCGAGUGUUUGGGUGUAAAACCCCAGCGCGUAAUGAACGUGAACGUAGGUGAGAGCUUCGGCGCAUCAUCGACCGAUUCUGAUGUUCUCGGAUGGAUUUGAGUAAGAGCAUAUAGGGUUGGACCCGAAAGAAGGUGAACUAUGCUUGUAUAGGGUGAAGCCAGAGGAAACUCUGGUGGAGGCUCGCAGCGGUUCUGACGUGCAAAUCGAUCGUCAAAUAUGAGCAUGGGGGCGAAAGACUAAUCGAACCUUCUAGUAGCUGGUUCCAGCCGAAGUUUCCCUCAGGAUAGCAGUGUUGAACUUCAGUUUUAUGAGGUAAAGCGAAUGAUUAGGGACUCGGGGGCGCUAUAUUGCCUUCAUCCAUUCUCAAACUUUAAAUAUGUAAGAAGCCCUUGUUACUUAAUUGAACGUGGGCAUUCGAAUGUAUCAACACUAGUGGGCCAUUUUUGGUAAGCAGAACUGGCG